rnacentral:lncRNA from 1 species
GAGAUUCAGUUAUCUCUCUCAGCCUUGAGAAGCCUUGGAGAGAGUGACAUUGGCUUUCUGGCUAUUCCAAAAAUGAAGUACUUUGUUUCUUAGCUCUGGGCAUGAUCCCCAAGGUUCAUCAACAAGAACACCCAGACCAUGUUAAGAGGCUGACAUCCUUUGCAGACUUGUGAAGAUAUCUUCUCUUUUCUAUUACCAUCUACAGAGGCACAGUUCCUGGACUUUAUUACUAUAUCAUUGUUUAUUUCUUAGACAAUAAUUGAGUAGAACAAUGGCAUGACUAUAUUUAACAGCAGUUAC